rnacentral:lncRNA from 10 species
GGUAAUCAGGAUGGCAGUGAGGCAGGCACUUGCUUGCAGAAGAACAGGCCUAGUUUUUUAAGAAGCCACAAAAGUGUCUUUGGAUGAUUAGGAUCUAAGGGGCCAACAGCUUUGCAAUAACAGCAUAAAUAUUGUGGGCUGGAUGGACAGGCACCAAAUGGGGACAUUCCAUCCUGCUGUGUGAUGAGAAAGCUGCCACUUUUGAGGCCUUCCAAAACAAAUCAACACUCCAUAUGCCAGAAGGAAAAGCCCAGGAAAGACCUAUUCCAACUGGAGAUGGUGAAUGUCAUUUCUUCAAGAAGCUGAGAUCCAGCUGGUACUGCCAGGUGGAGAGAAUACGAAGGGAGAAUGAAACAAAACUGCUCCGCUUAGGGAACUUGGAAAGGAAAUUGAAAAGGCAAGGCACAGGCUGGAAGAAAAUAUUUGAAAAAGAUUUAUGUGAACUUCUUUCUGGAUUAUACAAAAUAUUUUUAGAUAUUCUUACAACUCUAAAAUAAGAUAACUCCUUAAAAAUCUAAAUUCUACCAAAGGAGAGAUAAAGAUGACGAAUACAUUCAAAGAUGCUGAAAAUCACUUAUUUAUUAUUAGGAAGUUACAAGCUAAAGCAUAAUGAGAUACCACUACAACCUACUAAACUGACUAAAAUUAAUCAGACUAACCAGGUGUUGGCAAGAAACAGGG